UUUGAUUUCGUCUUACAUUUUUC
rnacentral:miRNA from 1 species